UGCAAAACUUGACUAAUGGCUUCAUCAACAGAUCCUUUAGAAAGACAAUUUCAUCUCUCAGAAGAUCGAAGGAGCAAUGAAUGGAACUAUUUCACUAAACUUGACUGACCAAGAGAGAAGAACUGGUUGAUGAACUAGAAAUGAUGGAAACCUUGAGAGAAAAUGUCCCUGUCAUUGAGAGUUAAUGAUUGCCAAAAAAAGAAGCAUGUGGGACUUAGUCAAGCAUAUACCUGAGAAUUUAGGAAAGUAGCUUUCAAAAAGGUAAGAGAAAAGAUAGAGGCAAUGUAACAAUUUGCCUCUCUAAAAAAUAGGGUGGCUCAAGAGAGACAGGCAUUUCUUAAAAAAGAAUAUUCUUAGAUGCAAGUUCUGCCAAUAAUCUGAAUAAGGAAGAAAAAAAGGCAGACAGCUGAAGAAGAGGUCAUAGAGAUAUAUUCAGUCAUAUGUGAUAUUUAAAGAGCCCAUAUAGGAAAGAUGAAAGCAGAAAUAUACAACCAAGAACAUUUAAGUGUGUCACAGACCUAUGAGGAUGAUAGUGUCUAGUCUAUAAAAGCUAAAAAUGAUCUGUCUUGUGACAAAAAUGGUAAUAGUUCAUACCCCCCCCCAAAGAGGAUAUUUUCCCUCCAA
rnacentral:lncRNA from 1 species